rnacentral:rRNA from 1 species
CAGUAGCCGCGGUAAUACGUAGGUGGCAAGCGUUGUCCGGAAUUAUUGGGCGUAAAGCGCGCGCAGGCGGAUAGGUCAGUCUGUCUUAGAAGUUCGGGGCUUAACCCCGUGAUGGGAUGGAAGCUGCCAAUCUAGAGUAUCGGAGAGGAAAGUGGGAUUCCUAGUGUAGCGGUGAAAUGCGUAGAUAUUAGGAAGAACACCAGUGGCGAAAGCACUCUGCUGGGCCGACACUGACACUGAGAGACGGAAGCUAGGGGAGCAAAUGGGAUUAGAGACCCCGGUAGUCCCUGUCUCUUAUACA